rnacentral:tRNA from 1 species
GGGCCUUUAGCUCAGUCGGUUAGCAGCAGGUCGCUCAUAACGAUCAGGUCGCCGGUUCGAUUCCGGCAGGGCCCACCA